AACGAAGUGCCUGAGGAAAGGACUAUUUUGAUAGAGUAGGUCACGUAUUUAUAUACCUUCGUUA
rnacentral:tRNA from 1 species